rnacentral:rRNA from 1 species
UACGGAGGGGGCUAGCGUUGUUCGGAAUUCCUGGGCGUAAAGCGCACGUAGGCGGCUUUGUAAGUUAGAGGUGAAAGCCCGGGGCUCAACUCCGGAAUUGCCUCUAAGACUGCAUCGCUCGAAUUGUGGAGAGGUAAGUGGAAUUCCGAGUGUAGAGGUGAAAUUCGUAGAUAUUCGGAAGAACACCAGUGGCGAAGGCGACUUACUGGACACAUAUUGACGCUGAGGUGCGAAAGCGUGGGGAGCAAACAGG